UACGUAGGGUGCGAGCGUUGUCCGGAAUUAUUGGGCGUAAAGAGCUCGUAGGCGGUUUGUCGCGUCUGCUGUGAACACCUAAGGCUCAACCUUGGGCUUGCAGUGGAUACGGGCAGACUAGAGGUAGGUAGGGGAGAAUGGAAUUCCUGGUGUAGCGGUGAAAUGCGCAGAUAUCAGGAGGAACACCGGUGGCGAAGGCGACUUCCUGGCCUGUUCUUGACGCUGAGGCGCGAAAGCUAGGGGAGCAAACGGG
rnacentral:rRNA from 1 species